rnacentral:rRNA from 1 species
UACAGAGGUCCCAAGCGUUGUUCGGAUUCACUGGGCGUAAAGGGUGCGUAGGCGGUCGGGUAAGUCUGAUGUGAAAUCUCCAAGCUCAACUUGGAAAUGGCAUCGGAUACUAUUCGGCUCGAGGAAUGGAGGGGAGACUGGAAUACUUGGUGUAGCAGUGAAAUGCGUAGAUAUCAAGUGGAACACCAGUGGCGAAGGCGGUUCUCUGGAACGCAACUGACGCUGAGACGCGAAAGCGUGGGGAGCAAACAGG